UUAUGAAAAGAUUGCUAAAUUCGAUCUAUUCGUAUUUAAUAGGCUUUACAUAGAUUAGAUUAUACCAAAAAACUUGUCUUUAUAGUAAUGCUUGCACAUAAGUAACAAGUGCGCUUAAAAAAAUCUAGAAAUAUGUUGUAUAGCAAGCUGAAAUGGAGAACUUUUUGAGAAGUUCUAUGAAUAUCAACUGAAUAUUGAACCUAGACCUCAUGGUUGUGAGUGCUGCUUCCUGCCUGAUCACCUCACCAGUUAGGCCAACAUAUAAUACAACACUGCAAAAAUCAGGUGAAGUCAAAAGGGACAGCUUGCAAAUUUCUAUCAUAAAGCUUAACAAUGGAACCUGGAUGGACAACUUUUCUUAUCGACAACGGAAUGCGACUAGCGACACCUUGUAGCCAGAUAUAAAUUUGCCAGGAAAAUCAUCGAAUUAUACAGUACCUGUAAACCUUGCCACUCUCCCAGUGGGCCUUGAUGGGUAAAACUUGGCCUCCCGCUCUAGGCCAGAAGAAUUUAGGGGAUUGGCCUAGAGCAUUCAAGAUUCAAAAAACCUUCCGUUUCAAUAAUCUACUCUUAGCUAUCCCUUCUAUAACAGGCCUCGGUACAGCUGUUUAGCAUUGUUUCAAGGACCUGUUAGGUCAUGGGAGGUCAACACGAGUAAUCUGGAAGGAUCGAGCAAGAGAAGAAAUUGUGAUGACGACGUCAUUCAAAUCUUUGCUGGAAGUAUUCAGAUCUUUACGUGAGUCUACGCUUAGUUCAGAUUAUGUUGUCACUCCUCUAGUUCGUACGCCAUAAGUACCUUGUUCGCACACCAUUACUGGGAGGGAACCCAUGAUCCAGUACUUGAAGUCUGCCAAGGUGCCUAUGAAAGACCUGGGUGAUGAAACACAGAAAAUUCGAAGUGAGCUGAAUGAGGCGGAUCGUCUUAAGGAAAAAUUUAGUGAGCCUCUGUAAUCAUGGCUACCCAGGUUGUAUGUUUGCUAAAUCGGGACAGCGUAUACUUCAAAGGUGUGAAUUAUUUAAAACUAAGUGAAGCGUAGAAGAGAAUAAUAAUACGGAAAGGAAAAGGUAAUAUUUAAGACUUGGUGAGACAAACAUCAGUUAAGCGUAUUAUACAUUAGAUACGCGGCCGUGCUUAAGUUAUAAAUCGAUGCAGCGAGAGCCUGGCAAAUAUCGCGCGGCUUAUGCUUCCCCUCGCAUCUUGCCCCCGCCCACGAUCUGUCAUCAUCAUUGCUUCCUCGUCAGUAGCCAAAAAUACACUAU